UUUUCUAGUUCUGUCUUAGUUAUUAUUCGGGAAAAUCACAAGUCACCAACAUUUCAAAUAUUUCCGACCGUUAGAAGCUAAGGAAGAAAGGAAAGGCUCAAGGAAGGAUAAUCUAUCCAGAGGAGGUCACGUCUGAGAUCAUCGGGGGAAUCAGGUCAAGAUUAUGCAAUUUAGAUCGUAAAAGAGUGUUGGUAAGAACCGCCUUCACCGGUAAUUUUUUUUAAUUUUCUUUUUCUUUAUUUGAUUUUUUUUAUUUAUUUCUAAAAUUGUUAAAUUCAAUUAAUUAUAAAAUACUACUUUAAUAUGCAUAUCAAAUGAAAGAGCACGAUAUGAG
rnacentral:lncRNA from 1 species